AUUGAAAUUUCGUGGUAAAUUGAGUGUUAAAUAAUAUAAUUUGUUAAUAAAAGCAAUCUUGAAGCAUAUUUUAAUCAGUUUAUGUAAAAGUUUAAGUGCGAGCAAUGUUUUCUUUUAAAUAAUUUGCAAGUAAAAAUAAUAUGCCAGCAGAGGGUGGCGUCGGCAGCGCUAAAGUUCUGCUAGCAUGCGCAAUCUGUGUGCGUGUGUAUGUGGUGUGAGAAAUAAGCAAAAGCAAUAGCAAAUGGAAGUGAAGUUCGGUAAUUUUCGGGUAUGUUACAAUAACGACAAUAAUGAAGUAGCAACAGAGUUCGCUAAUAAGUGAGUUUUUUCAUUAAGGCAAAGAGUAAAAUAAGGUGAGAAAUUAAGAAAAUAAGAGUGGUGUAUGAUGGAAUGUGCUAUAGUGUGCAUACAUAUGUAUGUGCGUAGCUUAUAUGCAAGGUGUAUAAGUGUUGCAAUGUUUUGCAAAUAUAUCGAACAUCUGGCAGAGCCAUUGAAUCUAUGCCGUGAUGAGAAUAAAGGUUCUUUUCACUUCCCGUUCCUUUUGUGACAGCGCGAAAAGUUAAGCCGAUUGCGCGUCGUGUGUGAAAAUAGUGAAAUUUCGUGGUAAAUUGUGUGUUAAAUAAUAUAAUUUGUUAAAAAAAGCAAUCAUGAAGCAUAUUUUAAUCAAUUGAUGUAAAAGUUUUAGUGCGAGCAAUGUUUUCCUUUAAAUAAUUCGCAAAUAAAACUAAUAUGCAAGCUGAGGGUGGCGUCGGCAGCGCUGAAGUUCUGCUACGGUGCGCCAUGUGGUGUGAGAAAUAUGCAAAAGCAAUAGCAAAUGGACGUGAAGUUCGGUAAUUUUCGUAUAUGUUACAAAAACAACAACAAUGUAAAGUAGUAAUAGAGUGCGCUAAUAAGUAUACGAGAAAUUUUGAGUUUUUUUCAAUAAGGCGAAGAGUAAAAUAAGGUGCUAAAAAGUGUUAGUGGUCUAAUGAGAAAUCAAAAAAAUGAGAGUGGUCCUAUGGAAAGUGUUAUAGUAUAUGUGAUAUGUGUAGCUAUGUAAUGCAUAUGCAAGGUGUAUAUGUAAGUGUUGCAAUGUUUUGCAUGCAUAGUUUCAAAUAUGUCGAAAAAUUGUCAAAAUCGUGUAAGCCAAUAAAGUGUUUGUGUGUAUUAAGUGUGAGUGUUAAAAGUGUUUCAAUGCAAUUCAAUGGUUUUUGUAUAAAAUGCUGAUAAAACGCCUGCAGAAGUGCCACGCUGUAUAUAAGUGUUAAUUUUGUGAAAUAUGAAAUAGUGUAUAUGUAGUCUUCGCUGAGAAUGAAUGACUUCUGCAUUUU